rnacentral:rRNA from 1 species
AUUGAACGCUGGCGGCAUGCUUUACACAUGCAAGUCGAACGGUAACAGGCCUUCGGGCGCUGACGAGUGGCGAACGGGUGAGUAAUGCAUCGGAACGUGCCCAGUCGUGGGGGAUAACGCAGCGAAAGCUGUGCUAAUACCGCAUACGAUCUGUGGACGAAAGCGGGGGACCGUAAGGCCUCGCGCGAUUGGAGCGGCCGAUAUCAGAUUAGGUAGUUGGUGGGGUAAAGGCCUACCAAGCCGACGAUCUGUAGCUGGUCUGAGAGGACGACCAGCCACACUGGGACGGAGACACGGCCCAGACUCCUACGGGAGGCAGCAGUGGGGAAUUUUGGACAAUGGGCGCAAGCCUGAUCCAGCAAUGCCGCGUGCAGGAAGAAGGCCUUCGGGUUGUAAACUGCUUUUGUACGGAACGAAACGGUUCGGGUUAAUACCCUGGGCUAAUGACGGUACCGUAAGAAUAAGCACCGGCUAACUACGUGCCAGCCGCCGCGGUAAAAC